UACGGAGGGUGCGAGCGUUGUCCGGAUUUAUUGGGUUUAAAGGGUGCGUAGGUGGCCCUGCAAGUCCGUGGUGAAAGCCUGCUGCUCAACAGCAGAACUGCCAUGGAUACUACAGGGCUUGAGUCCAGACGAGGUUGGCGGAAUGGAUGGUGUAGCGGUGAAAUGCAUAGAUACCAUCCAGAACCCCGAUUGCGUAGGCAGCUGACUAGGCUGGUACUGACACUGAGGCACGAAAGCGUGGGGAGCGAACAGG
rnacentral:rRNA from 1 species